rnacentral:tRNA from 1 species
GGCAUAGCUCAGUGGUAGAGUGUGUGCUUAGCACGCACAAGUUCCUGAGUUCAAUCCCCAGUACUGCCA